rnacentral:lncRNA from 1 species
AUUGAACACUAUACAUGGUAUAUGGUUAAUCUUAGAAAUAUAUAUUAAAAUUAUAUGAAAGAGAGUUGAUUUUGAAAAUAUAAACUUACAUUUAGAGUUGAAGUGGAAAUAUUUUAAAAUAAUUUUUUUAUCAAAUGGACAUUUAUUGGGAAACGAAGGGAAUAUUACCUAAGGAAAUGCCUUGAAUUAAUUCAAUUAGACGGUUAAUGAAUUACUCCCUCCGUCCCCCUCAAUUGUUUACAUUGGAGGGGGACACGGAGACCAAGACAAUUUAUGAAAAAUGAGUAAAGUUAGGUGAAAAAUGAGUAAAGUGGUGGGACCCAUCAAUAUUUAAUAAUAGAUUUGAGAUAGUGGAGGAAAGUAGUGGGUGUAAUAGUAUUGUUAAAUAUGAGAUAGUGGGAGAAGAUAGUGGGUGUAAUGAUGAAAAAACUUACUAUUUAUGGUAAUGUAAAGAAAUGAGAGGGACAUCCCAAAUUAGUAACUGUAAAGAAAUGAGAGGGACGGAGGGAGUAUUUGUAAAGCAGAUGACAUCAGCUACAGUGAUAAAACUGAUAGGUAGGGUUGUGAGUUGUGACGAAAGGUUUUGGUUGAAUAAUUGCACAACUGUGUGAUGGCUCGGCGUGCACAGGAAAUUAUCAACAUUUAGCUUCAUGUUUGAAUUUUAACGUCAA